UGGGGAAUAUUGCACAAUGGGGGGAAACCCUGAUGCAGCGACGCCGCGUGAACGAAGAAGUAUUUCGGUAUGUAAAGUUCUAUCAGCAGGGAAGAUAAUGACGGUACCUGACUAAGAAGCACCGGCUAAAUACGUGCCAGCAGCCGCGGUAAUACGUAUGGUGCAAGCGUUAUCCGGAUUUACUGGGUGUAAAGGGAGCGCAGGCGGUGCGGCAAGUCUGAUGUGAAAGCCCGGGGCUCAACCCCGGUACUGCAUUGGAAACUGUCGUACUAGAGUGUCGGAGGGGUAAGUGGAAUUCCUGGUGUAGUAGUGAAAUGCGUAGAUAUCAGGAAGAACACCGGAGGCGAAGGCGGCUUACUGGACGAUAACUGACGUUGAGGCUCGAAAGCGUGGGG
rnacentral:rRNA from 1 species